UUAUAGGUGGAAAUUUUGAUUUUGAUUUAAAAAAAUCCCGAGAUUUUCAAUAAAAUUCAUCAAUAAAUCAAAAUUCCUACAAAAUUCCUACAAUGAGCCCAGUUAAAACCUGGGAUCAUCCCAGCAAUUCUUUGGGAAAAGUGGGGGUUUUUUGGUUGAAUUUUGAAAGGAAAAACCUGGAUAUUUUUGCUGGGAAGAUGAUUUUUAUGGAUAAAACCAAUCCAUAGGGGUUUUCCCCGGAGCUGGAGCAUCCCCAAAUCCCAAAAGUUUGGAAAUCCGUGGAUGGAUCCCAAUCCCGAGCUUUCCCAGGGCUGGGAUAUUUGAGUUCCUCCAGGAUCCCUGGGCCAAUCCAAGGGAUUGAUUCCUUCCCUUUUCUCUUGGAGUUGCACAGAAAUCCAAGGAAUCAAUCCUGACUGACAAAUUCCAUGGAAUUUAUCCCAAAUUGGCCAAGAGGUGGAAAAACCAAAGCGACCAAGACGCCAAAACCCUCAGAAAAUCGGGAUAAAAGCCAAAAUGAUGGAAUUUCUCCCAAAUUGCAGGUGGAAAAAUCAAAGCGGCCAAGGCACCGACACCCUCGGAAAAUCCGGAGAAGAGCCAAAAUUCCGGAAUUCCGGGCAGGAAUCCAAGGCAACAUUUCCCCAGAGGGAUAAACAAAUUCCAGCGGCGCAAGGAGCACGGAAAAUCGGGAUGGAGGCCACGGAAUGACCCCCGGAGAGGGCCAGGAAUGUCACCACGGCCCGGCGCUCCCGGUUCCACCUGGGCUGGCGCGGCACACCUGGAAAAAUCCAUCAAAAUUCCGGAUCUAAGGAAUGCAGGGGGGGCGUUAAUCUUUAACCGGACCCCCCUGGAAGCCCUGGAAAAUUCCCAGGAGCCGCUCCCGGUUGGUUCGGAGUCACCUCGGCCGGGGGGAUGGCGCUGCUGGGAAGGAUCCGUCGGGAAGGAGCCGGAAUUCCGCGGCUCCGGCCGGAAUUCGCAGCUCCAAGGAUAUCUGAUUUUUUCCCGGAUUUUUGAAGUCUUUGGAAAACCCCUUUGGAAGGAGAGAAGGUCCUGAGCUCCCUUUUUAAGCUGAAUUUGGCAGAAUUUAGUUCCUAAUUCCAGCAAUCAACAUCCAGCACUUUUUGGGACUUUCCCUAAGGCUGGAAUUCUGAUCCAUGGAAAUGGGGAAGAGAUGGAACUCAACCUCCAAAAUUCAACCAAAAAUCCAACCCAGGGCCUGCCCAGGGCACAGAAAAAAGGGGGAAAAAGCAAAAUUCAGGAGUUUUGCUUCAAGUUUUGAUCUGUUUCAUUAAUUAAUAAGCCAAAUAAAUUUAAUUUAAGCUGUGCCCCCCUGAUGGGGACAUUUUUAGG